GGUGGCUCAGUGGUAGAGCACUUGCCUUGCAUGCUAGUUGCCCUGGGUUUGAUUCCUCAGCACCA
rnacentral:tRNA from 1 species